UACGGAGGGUGCAAACGUUGCUCGGAAUCAUUGGGCGUAAAGCGCACGUAGGCGGUCCAGCAAGUCGGGUGUGAAAGCCCUCGGCUUAACCGAGGAAGUGCAUUCGAAACUACUGGACUUGAAUACUGGAGAGGAUCGCGGAAUUCCCGGUGUAGAGGUGAAAUGCGUAGAGAUCGGGAAGAACGCCAAGGGCGAAGGCACUCUGCUAGGCCUGAUUUCGCGACUGACACUCAGGGACGAGAGCCAGGGGAGCGAAUGGG
rnacentral:rRNA from 1 species